UGGGGUGUAGCUUAGUAGCAAAGUGCUUGCCUAGCAUGUGUGAGCCAUUGGGUUCAAUCCUCAGCACUUCAU
rnacentral:tRNA from 1 species